rnacentral:lncRNA from 1 species
CUUCUUGGCUAGUGGGUGAGCCAAUUAUUCAAACUUUGGGAUGCAAUUCAAUGGCAACUUGAUGAAGAUACUAAAUUGUACUAAUUCUCAGUGGACAAGGGAACUUGCCACCUCCCUCCACCAGAGCAAUGGAGGAUUUAUGGGAACCAGUAAGUCACAAAGAUCCCCUUAUUGGAGAUGGCCGAACAAGAUACAUUGGAUCCUUUAUACUUCUUGGUGAUACUCCUUUAAAUCUGCUGGAACUUUUAAUCAGAUACAGGAUGGAGGAGUGCCAUUGGAAUCAAUUUGUGCAAAAUUGACCAUGCCUCAAAGCGCUUCUCCUUCCUGAAGGAAGUGCCUAUGAGAU